AACAGGAAACAGGAGACGGCGAGAUGAUCAUGAUCAGGGAUUGCAGCUGGAGGAUCCUGAUUGGUGGAUCGAAGCACAUCUGCUGAGGGGAAUGCAAGAUCAGUGUUGGCGCCCCCCCCCCCCUCAGCCCCUCCACACACUCAUUACAGCUACACAGAACACAACUUAUAAAAGUGAUAAAAUUAGUUUAAUGCUUUUGUUGUGUUUACUCAUCUAACAUUUUAUUCAAUUAAAUAAGCUACACAAUUUUAAAUAGGCCUACGAGUGACAUUUUCAGUACCACACCAAAACUAACUAAAGACUUUACUACAAAGUUCAAA